rnacentral:tRNA from 1 species
GCGGCUGUGGCGGAAUGGUAGACGCGCUACCUUGAGGGGGUAGUAUCCAAAUGGAUGUGUGAGUUCAACUCUCAUCAGCCGCACCA